AAUAAGCUUUCACAUGCAACUAGAUUAACUCUAAUCAAUUCAGUUUUUGCUUCCAUCCCUGUGUACUACAUGUCAAAUAUUAUUUUCUCUAGAAAACUAAUUGCCAAACUUAAUGCUAUCAUUAGAAAUUUUUGGUGGACAGGAAUAAAAGAGGACCCAUCCAAGAAACCGCUCUGUCUUACGGCAUGGAAGGACAUUUGCACUCCAAAAGUUGAAGGAGGAUUAGGAAUCAAGAACAUCCAAGCAGUUAAUAGAGGACUAAUUCUGACUACAGCUUGGAGAAUUGCGGACGAACCGCAAAGCUUCUUGUCACAGGUACUUAAGUCCAAAUAUUUUCCUGAUACUUCUAUAUGGAGAGCAAAAAGUAAUAUUCCUAAAUCAGGAUUCUGGGCUUCACUUCUAAAGGUAAGACAUGUCCUUCAAGCAAAUUCAGUUUAUCAAAUUCUUGAUGGCAAUUCUUCUAUUUGGAGCACUCCUUGGUUUCCCCAUUGGCAAUCUAUUUAUGAGCAUUUACAAAUACAACCAGGACAUUAUGUCUAUCCUUCUCAGAUCAAGGAUUUGUGGAACCAGAAUCAGAAAAUAUGGAAUGCCGGUCUUAUUAAUAAUCUUUUUGAUCAUGAGGUGGCUAAUAGCAUUAUGCAUGUACCAACUAAUCAACAAGAGGGAGCUGAUAUCCUCUAUUGGAGAUUGCAUUCUUCAGGAAAAUGUACUUCAAAAUCUGCCUAUAAAGCGUGUCUA
rnacentral:rRNA from 1 species